CCUACGGGUGGCUGCAGUGAGGAGUAUUGCACAAUGGGCGCAAGCCUGAUGCAGCCAUGCCGCGUGUGUGAAGAAGGCCUUCGGGUUGUAAAGCACUUUCAGCGGGGAGGAAGGCGGUGAGGUUAAUAACCUCAUCGAUUGACGUUACCCGCAGAAGAAGCACCGGCUAACUCCGUGCCAGCAGCCGCGGUAAUACGGAGGGUGCAAGCGUUAAUCGGAAUUACUGGGCGUAAAGCGCACGCAGGCGGUCUGUCAAGUCGGAUGUGAAAUCCCCGGGCUCAACCUGGGAACUGCAUUCAAAACUGGCAGGCUAGAGUCUUGUAGAGGGGGGUAGAAUUCCAGGUGUAGCGGUGAAAUGCGUAGAGAUCUGGAGGAAUACCGGUGGCGAAGGCGGCCCCCUGGACAAAGACUGACGCUCAGGUGCGAAAGCGUGGGGAGCAAACAGGAUUAGAUACCCCGGUAGUC
rnacentral:rRNA from 1 species